GUCCCUGUAGCGUAAUGGAUAGCGCGUUGGACUGCUAAUCCAGAGGUCGUAGGUUCGAAUCCCAUUUGGGAUG
rnacentral:tRNA from 1 species